ACACUAUGCACAAAAUUUGUGA
rnacentral:misc_RNA from 1 species